rnacentral:rRNA from 1 species
CCUACGGGUGGCUGCAGUGGGGAAUAUUGGACAAUGGGCGAAAGCCUGAUCCAGCCAUGCCGCGUGUGUGAAGAAGGCCUUCGGGUUGUAAAGCACUUUCAGUGGGGAAGAAAGCCUUGGGGCUAAUACCCUCGAGGAAGGACAUCACCCACAGAAGAAGCACCGGCUAACUCCGUGCCAGCAGCCGCGGUAAUACGGAGGGUGCGAGCGUUAAUCGGAAUUACUGGGCGUAAAGCGCGCGUAGGCGGUCUGAUAAGCCGGUUGUGAAAGCCCCGGGCUCAACCUGGGAACGGCAUCCGGAACUGUCAGGCUAGAGUGCAGGAGAGGAAGGUAGAAUUCCCGGUGUAGCGGUGAAAUGCGUAGAGAUCGGGAGGAAUACCAGUGGCGAAGGCGGCCUUCUGGACUGAUACUGACGCUGAGGUGCGAAAGCGUGGGUAGCAAACAGGAUUAGAUACCCGGGUAGUC